rnacentral:rRNA from 1 species
UACGAAGGUCCCAAGCGUUGUUCGGAAUCACUGGGCGUAAAGGGAGCGUAGGCGGCGUGGUGAGUCAGAUGUGAAAUCCCGGGGGCUCAACCCCGGAACUGCAUCCGAUACUGCCAUGCUAGAGGAUUGGAGAGGUAGCUGGAAUUUUUUGGGUGUAGCAGUGAAAUGCGUAGAGAUCAAGAGGAACACUCGUGGCGAAAGCGAGCUACUGGACAAUUCCUGACGCUGAGGCUCGAAGGCUAGGGUAGCGAAAGGG